rnacentral:tRNA from 2 species
GCCGAAGUGGUGGAAUCUGGUAGACACACCAUCUUGAGGGGGUGGCGAGCUACGCUCAUGCGGGUUCGAGUCCCGCCUUCGGCACCA